rnacentral:lncRNA from 1 species
UCGAGUGCAUACUCCACUCCAUUGCUCACACCAAGCUAUUCAAAAACAACAGUGAACAAUACAUACAAUGUAGGUCGUAUUCGUUCACCACCUGAAAUACCCCCAAAUAACUACCCUAAUCCACCAGCGUACUCUCAAUAUCCCUAUGGAACCCCAAUGCGCGAACGAACAGAGCUUGGGAUACAAAGUCCCAUGUCCUAUGCAACUCCUAUACGGGAAAGAACACAACUUGGGAUUCAAAGCCCCCUCGGGUUUCCGUUCCCCCAGGGCCGGGUACCCUAUGUUGACCACAGACGGCAAGGCCCGCCUCCUGAGUCUAGGCCAAGCGACUUACAUGAAGUUUUAGGGCAGUUACGAGAAACAGUAAAUAGUCUUGCGUUCCCUUGAGGAUUAAGAACAAUACGAGAAC